rfam:Candidatus Doudnabacteria bacterium RIFCSPLOWO2_01_FTLL_44_21 rifcsplowo2_01_scaffold_4198, whole genome shotgun sequence.
CAUUUGAAGAGUUUGAUCCUGGCUCAGGAUGAACGCUGGCGGCGUGCCUAAGACAUGCAAGUCGUACGUGCCAAUGCUUCGCAUCGGGAAUUUUGAAUUAAGAAUUUAGAAUUUUGAGUGAAAUUAGAAUAUUAAAAUAUUCGAAAUUGAAUCGAAAUUUAAAAUUAAAAAUUAGAAUUUCCAGUGCGGAGCACUGGUAACGUGGCGAACGGGUGAGUAACACGUGGGAACUUCCAUUAAGUUUAGGAUAACCCGCCGAAAGGCGGAGCAAUACUAAAUGUUGAGGCAACUCAAAAGGAGCAAUCCGCUUAAUGCAAGGCCCGCGGCCCAUCAGCUAGUUGGUAGGGUAAUGGCCUACCAAGGCGAUGACGGGUAGGGGACCCGAGAGGGUGAACCCCCACACUGGGACUGCGACACGGCCCAGACUCCUACGGGAGGCAGCAGUUUGGAAUUUUGGACAAUGGGCGAAAGCCUGAUCCAGCGACGCCGCGUGCACGAAGAAGGCCUUCGGGUUGUAAAGUGCUUUUGCCGCCGAAUAAUUUUUGAAUGUAGGCGGAGAAUAAGAGGUUGCUAACUCUGUGCCAGCAGCAGCGGUAAUACAGAGACCUCAAGCGUUAUCCGGAAUCAUUGGGCGUAAAGCGUUCCGAUAGGUGGUGUAUUUAGUCUUUCAGUAAAAGCCCGAAGCUUAACUUCGGAGUUUGCUUAAGAUACUGAUACACUAGAGGGGCAAAGAGGUCCUUGGAACCAGCGGUGUAGUAGUGAAAUGCGUUGAUAUCGCUGGGAACACCGAAAGCGAAGGCAGAGGACUGGGUGCCACCUGACACUGCUAGGACGAGAGCGUGGGGAGCGAAUGGGAUUAGAUAAAUCCCGGCUAGGCUCGUAAAAUAAUUAGCCGAAGGGUGUCCCUCUCAAUGGCGACAUUGAGAUGCGCAUCCAGCUGUAUCGGGGAAACUCUUUCUCAAUCAGGCGUUUACUGGACGCGAGAAAGACAAUCCCGAGGGAAGUUGCCUCGUCGGCAACCCCGUAGAGACUAUGAAAUUGAAUAAGAUAGUUGGCAUAUUUCUGUCGUUUUGCAAUUAAUUUUAAAACCAUGCAACACGAUUCAAGAUAUGUGCCUUUGUCGGAUCAGGCGCGAGCUAUUAUUCUUGGAGCAAUCUUGGGUGAUGGUUCGCUUAAGAUUCAAAAUGAGUAUUCCAAUGCGAAUUUACAAAUUCGGCAUUCGGAAACACAGAAAGAAUAUCUAUUAUGGAAAGCAGAAAGACUUUCCGAGAUAUCGGGAGAUAAGAGUAUAAGUGUGCAAAAGGCUGAUGGAUUCAGUAAGAAUAAAAAAUGGCGGUUCUUUAGCAAGAGAACGCCAGCACUUACUGAAAUACAUCGCCUAACCCAUAAGCAUAAUAAAUUAUGCAUCAAGCGUAAGUGGCUUAAUCAAAUGACUCCUUUAUCACUCGCCGUAUGGUGGUGUGAUGACGGAUCAUUAAUAGGCUACGGAGGCAGAAAAGGUGUGUUUUGUACCGAUGGUUUUGAUGAAUCAUCAGUCAGAAUACUUGCCCACUAUCUUAAGGUAGUGUGGAACAUCCGUGUUAUUGUUGCUCCUGUUGGGCGAAAGCGUGACGGGAAGCAAGAACAAUACUGGCGUAUAUGGAUAAGAUCGCAAGAGGAAUUAAAAAAAUUCUUGCGGAUUAUUAUUCCAUAUAUACCAGUACCGAGCAUGCUCUACAAAACCAUUCUUCUUUACAAAGAUUCUCAAUUUCAAGAACGCUGGAUAUCUGAAGUGGUAAAUUUGAGCCGGUUUCCUCAAGCGGUCAUUAUGGCCGAAUAUGAGAAGAAAAAGGCAAAAUGGGACUGCUACAGAUAAAGAUAUAGUCCGGACUCUGUGGUGACAUGGAGAGUGAGGCAGAAAUGUCCUCACCUAUUGCUACUUUGUUAGCAAUUAAGUAACAAAUUCAACCCCAGUAGUCCACGCUGUAAACGAUGAAUACUAGGCAUGCGCGAGUAUCGACCCUCGUGCGAGCCUGAAGCUAACGCGUUAAGUAUUCCGCCUGGGGAGUACGGUCGCAAGACUAAAACUCAAAGGAAUUGACGGGGACCCGCACAAGCGGUGGAGCAUGUGGUUUAAUUCGACGGUAAGCGAGGAACCUUACCAGGGUUUGACAUGCCACUUCAAGCGCACGGAAACGUGUGAUCUUCGAGAGUGUGGCACAGGUACUGCACGGUUGUCGUCAGCUCGUGUCGUGAAAAAUAAUCGAAAACCCCUUUUGAAAAAAGUGGUUUUCGAGACUUUCCGCAAAAUAAUGGCCGAAGUAAAUUCGGCCACCAAGGGCGGAACUGCAAAUCUCGCGACCUCACGGAGUAAUCUGUGAGAAAAAUCCAACUAUAUCGGGGAAGUCCAGUAACUUCUGGAUAAUCCCGAGGGAAGUCGUCCGCAAGGACUGACCCCGUAGAGACUACACGUUGGCUCCUCUAGAGUACAAAAAAUUUGAGUCGCAGACGCGAAGCGUCGAGAACAAAUUUUUUGAGACGAGCAACAAAUAGACCGUAGCAUAUUUCGCAGAAGCGAAAUUGCGAAGUGUCUAUCAGUUGCGAGGAAGAAGAUAUAGUCCGACCUGCUAAGUAAUUAGCAGAGCAUGAUAGAAAUAUUAUGCCACGUAAUAAUUUUGAAUUAAGAAUUUAGAAUUUUGAAUCAAUUUCGAAUAUUAGAAUAUUAAAUAUUCAUUCGAAAUUCAAAAUUAAAAAUUCGAAACUGAAUUGUUACGAAGUAACAACAUGGAGAUGUUCCCUUAAGUGGGAGAACGAGCGCAACCCCCAUAGUAUGUUGAUUUUCAUACUAGACUGCCAGCGUUUAAGCUGGAGGAAGGUGGGGAUGACGUCAAAUCAGCGUGGUCUUUACGCCCUGGGCGACACACGUGCUACAAUGGGUAGGAACAAAGGGACGCAAUACCGUAAGGUGGAGCAAAUCCUCUCAAAAACUACCCUCAGUUCAGAUUGAGGGCUGCAACUCGCCCUCAUGAAGCUGGAAUCGCUAGUAACCGUGAAUCAGCCUCGUCACGGUGAAUACGUUCUCGGGUUUUGUACAAAAUUAAAAGGCGCGCGGCAGUGAUAUAAGCAAGAUGGUGCAAAUCCAUCCUUG